AGCAGCCGCGGUAAUUCCAGCUCCAAUAGCGUAUAUUAAAGUUGUUGCAGUUAAAAAGCUCGUAGUUGAAUUUCGGGGUCAGUAGGUUGGUCGUGCCACUGGUAUGUACUGGCCUCACUGAUUCCUCCUUCUUGUAGAACCGUAAUGCCAUUAAUUUGGUGUUGCGGGGAAAUAGGACUGUUACUUUGAAAAAAUUAGAGUGUUUAAAGCAGGCUAACGCUUGAAUACAUUAGCAUGGAAUAAUGAAAUAGGACGUUCGAUCCUAUUUUGUUGGUUUCUAGGAUUGACGUAAUGAUUAAUAGGGAUAGUUGGGGGCAUUAGUAUUCAAUUGUCAGAGGUGAAAUUCUUGGAUUUAUUGAAGACUAACUACUGCGAAAGCAUUUGCCAAGGAUGUUUUCAUUAAUCAAGAACGAAAGUUAGGGGAUCGAAGACGAUCAGAUACCGUCGUAGUCUUAACCAUAAACUAUGCCGACUAGGGAUCGGAUGAUGUUAAUUUUUAAUGACUCAUUCGGCGCCUUAC
rnacentral:rRNA from 1 species